CACAAGGUGUUUGCUCGCUCGGCGACGGUUGGGUAUACGACAAAUAGCAGCGCGACUCAAUUAUUCGAGGAAGAAGGUGACACGACAGAAGCUUGAGGAAUGCCAGUCGAAGCGGGGAAGCGAGGAACUUCAAACGUGUGUGCGCAUAUGCACCAACGAUAUCCUCGUGAAUUCGAUUCGAGGCACGCGUGUUGGCUGACUGAUAUUGCAAAAUCGCUGCACGUUACUUAUUAGCAUAAACUCUUUGUUGCCUAUGACGCCGAUUUACCGGACGCAUCUUCUCGUCCCUCGUUACGCAUCGAUUACAUUAUGUUAUCGUUCGAUUUCCCAGGAAGAUUUAACGACUAUUCGUGCUCGAUUAUUCGAUGUAACAGUACACUAAAAAUUUCAAUUCAUGAUCAGAAACAUUCGAAGACAAUGGGAUUAACUAGCGGAACAUUGCAUCCUGGAGAGUAGCAAUGGUCAAGUAGUUCGUUCGCAAGUUGAUGCAGUUGUACGACCUAAAUUUCCCGUUCGUUAAAUAUUUCACGUUGCAGUGGUGACCGUGUAUAUACGAAAGGCGAUAGUGGACGAAAAGCAGAUCCGCUUUUCUUGGCGUUAACGUGCCGACGAUCCACCUUGUUUGUCGAUAGUGUUGCUCUACCGUGAUCAGGUGAACCGUGAACAGAAUCACUUACAGGAGAGGCAAAGAAGCCAAAAGCGAAACGGUGGACGAAAAAGUGCGAGCGCCGGGAAAGGAAAAGCGAGCAUACGUGCGGAGUAACGUCAAAGGCGUGAGAAGGGGAGUGACGAGUGGCGAGCAGCAUGAUGGGAUGAAAAAGCCGAAAGGCAGGAACGAAACGGGGAAGGAUCCCGGCGGACAGUGGUGCGAGCUAUCGGGUAACAUUCGUCAUGGUGAGUGCGGAGACGUCGACCUCGCAGAUACGCCGAUCAGACUAGUCCGCAGUCCUUCUCUCGUAUAACGACAGAAACCAGCAACCAGCAACCGUCAACCGUCAACCGUCAACCGUCAACCGUCAACUAACCAGCAACGCGUCAACACACUGGAACAUAUUCAAUCAUCGUAUGUUUCCUGCAAAGAUUCCCAAAGGGUAAGCGUGAGCCAUUUUCAUUGCAACCUGCGCAACCUCUACAUAGGAAAAUGUGAACCAGCAAAACCAUUCAGAGAAAAGAGAAAAAUUCCUUUAAUCGCAUGUACUCUGCAAGUACAAAUUUCUCCGAUAGCAUAUCGAUAUUACGUCGAUUCAUCGCUUUAACAGCUGAGCAAUCUUCUGGGCUAGUACGUAAGUAAUACGUUGCAAAUUUAGGUGUAGCGUAUCGUGUACACACAUGCGUAUGCACCUGCGAUUUGGUUUAACUCACACGACACCGUUCAUUCCUGUCGCGUUGUAAUCGAACGUAAACGUUUUCAGUUCCCGUUUACACAAAACCAUACAAACAACACGCACACGAAUCGUUUCAGCAUAAACCACCAACCUGAAUGUUCGGUACGUUUCUCGGCGAAAGAUGUCCACGUAUACAUUAAUAAAAAGUCGUCAGCAAGAACACACGGCUCGAGCGGCGCAUCUUGCACGCGAUAUCAAACUUUCCUAUAAAGCUUAAUCGCGGUUGAAGACCUUCGGCAUAAUCCAGACGUGGAUUAAGAUGCAACCGUACAAGCAUAUUCUUCACAAAGUACCAGCCAUCGGCCUUUAUUAAAAGCCUUUAUUAAUGUCAGGUUGUUUCAAAACUCAGUUUCAUGGUCUGACUGGAUAAAAUCUCUAACAAAGGUGCAUUAUCUCUAUAACUGAGGCUUUAGAAGCUACAAAUUACUAUAUAUCUCAGGAGCACGUGCGCUUCCAACAUCCCACUAAUUUCCCUAUUGGAAUAUCAGGAACCUGAAGUUCUAUCACGGAUUAACAUUCUCCUGACCAUUCCGGUAUGGAGCAAGAUUUCCCAGAAGCAUAGUUCACCGACAAUUUCGCCAACAGCUCAACUAGGUUUAUUGGUGUACGAAGUAAAGAUAUGGGAAAUUCUGGAGGGACAUGGAAUGGUUAUGAAAGGGAACAUCUGAAUUAUGCUACGUAACCGUGCUACAUUGUCUCGUACGUAGGACAGAAUGGAUCAUAUUAUCAACAACGGGAAAGUGUUAUUAGUCGAUUAUUACAUGGAAGCAUUGAGUGAAGAUGGUAGUCGAGUAGAGGACGUGAAAAUGGCUGUUUAACCUAUUCGAAUGCUCGUAUCGCAUUUUACGAACAAAAUGCUCAAAUAUUUAAUUGCUGCGUUGAAAUAAAAAAAUAUUAACUUUUCGGUGUAGUUUUGAGAUAAUCGAAUAAAAAAUUUAAAUUUCAAUUUAGAGAUUAUAUUUAUAAGGCUUGAUUUAAUUGCAUAUUACUCAAACACUUGGUGUUUAAAGUGAAAUUAUGACAAUGUUUAAUAACAAUCUAGGUUAUCUUCUAUAAUUGUAACCCUAUACUGUAUUACUAUAAUUGUAAAAGUAAUAUGCAUGUUAUACAAUGUAUAGGACGAUGAAAACAGGUUACGUUACAGGCUGAUAAACUACGCACUAUUGGAAAUCUAUAAUGCAAUGUCCUGUACGCGCGAAAGCAUGCCGAGGCAUUGUUGUAGCAAAAAUAAUAUGAAUUACGAUCAGUACUUCUUGCAAACAAUUUGUACACGGUUACAAAUGAAAUAAAGGUUCAAUAAAACAAUAUAUCAAGUAAGAAC